CCGGGCUGGGGGCUCCUGGUGCUGCCCGUGGGGGGGGGUGUGCCCAGGACGCUGCCAAUGCCCAGGGAUCUGCUCUGGGUCCAGGCUGUCCGUGCUGGAGGGCCCUGGUGGCUGCAGUCCCUGAGCCCGCAGAGACAGAGAGAGCCCCGGCCCGAGGGGCCUUUGGCCCCUUGUCCUGAAUUUGGGAGCGCUGGGGACAGUUUGGGCUUGGCAGCUUCAGAGCUGGGACGGAGCAGCCCCUGGAAAGAAUCAGGAGAGUGGAGAUGCUGGAAUUGCCUCUCUGGGUGUGUGCUGAGCUCUGGCUGCAGGGGACUGUCAGGCCUUGGUGGCUCUGUUCCCUGCUGUCCAUUCCCUGGCCUGAAUUCCUUGCAGCUCCCAGCUGGGGAAACCUGGGAGAACAUGGCAGGGACAGAGGUGACAUUUGUAGCUGCCAACUUGGGGUAAUUUCGAGGGGCCCCAGCAACUGUUUCUGAAGGAAAAGGUGAGGUGCUGCAGAGGGGAGGGAGGUGGCAUUUUGGAGGGGUCCCACUGAGGGGGAGUGGAGAGCCUGGGGCUGGAGUGUGAGUUCUUAAACAGGGAAGAAGGGAAGGAUGCUUGGGAGGGAAACACUCAGGGAAUGUGUAGGGAUGGAAGGGAAAUUUGGGGCGUCAGGAAGAGAAAAUGGGUGAUGUAGAGGAAGGGAAAUGUUGGGUGUAAGAGUUGAUCUCAUCUGUAGAGGACAGAAUGACCAUUUAGAGAUAAAGUGAGGCAGUGAGUGGUGGGCAGGUAGGGAAAAUUUGUGUGUGUAAAAUUUCAGGUCACCUGUAGCAGAGAGGAUGUACCUCCUGCUGGACACUGAGGCAGUCAGGGGUGGGCAGGAGGGGAAACCUUUGGGGGUAAAACUUGAGGGAACGUCCAGGGCAGAGAGUGAAUAUUUUGAAGGAUAAAUGAGGUGCUCAGUGGUGGACAGCUGGGGAGUGUUUUAGGGUAAACUUGGGGUAGCCCACAGGGUAGAGAGUGAACAUGUAUUUGUACAGAGGAGCUGACCUACCCCUACAUGUGAGUAGGUAAGGAGAAUUUUGGGAGUAAAAUCUGGGCAAUCUGUAGCAGAGAGAAUGAAUACCUUGGUGUGAAGUGAGACAGUCAGUGUCGGGCAGGUAGGGAAGAUUUCUGUUUGUAAACUUUGAGGUCAGGUGGAGCAGAGAAUGUACAUCUUGAGGUAAACUGGGGUAAUCAUUUGUGGACUCAUAGGGAAAAUUGGGGGGGGAAAUAUCUGAGGUAAUCUGCAUGGUAGAGGAUGAAUAUUGAGAGGUGAACAUGAGGUACUCAGUGGUGGACUUGUAGGGAAAAUUGUGGGGGUCAAAUCUGUGGCAAUGUGCAGCAGAGAGAAGGAACAUUUUGGAACAAAGUGAGGCAGUCAGUGGGGGAGAGGCUGAGAAAUUUCUGAGGGUGAAACUUGAGCCAGUCUGCAGGGCAAAGAAUGAAUAUUUGGAGGUCCAAAAGAGGUAAUCAGGAGUGUGCAGUAGGGAAGACUCUGGGGGUUAAAAAGGAGGUAAUCUCUGGGGGAGAGAAUGACUCUUUUGUGUUCAAGGAGAGGUAAUCAGGAGUGGGCUGAAAGGGGAGAUUUUGGGGGUUAAGAAGGAGGUUCAUUCUCUCCAGGGCAGGGAAUGAACACACUGAGGUAACCUGAGGUGAUGAGUGGUGAGAGACACAGAAAUCUGUGUGUGUUAAAGUUCAGGUGAUCUGCUGGGAAGAGAAGGAACCUGUUGAGGUAAAGAUGAGGCACUCGGUGGCAGACAGGUGGGGAGAGCUUUGAGAUAAGCCUGAGGUGUCUGUGGGGUGCAGAAUGACCCUCUGUAGGUACUAAGGAGCUGGUCAGACGUGGACAGGUAAGGCAGAUGUUGGGAGUAAAAUGUGGGGCAAUCUGUCCCAGAGAGAAUGAAUCUUUUGGGGUAAGGUGAGGCAGUCAGUAGUGGGCAGGGAGGGAAAUCUUUGUUUGUCAACCCUGAGGUAAUGUGCAGCAGAGAGAAUGCACCUCCUGGGGUAAACUGGGGUAAUCAGUAGUGGACAGGUAAGGAGGUUUUGGGGGAAACUUUGAGGUAAUCUCUGUGGCAGAGGACAAAUCUUUGGAGGUAAAAAUGAAGUAAUAAGUAGUUUGCAGGCAGGGAAAACUGUGAGGGUAAGUCUGGAUGUCACCUAGGGGAGAAAAGGAGCCUUUUGAGGUCCAGUGAGGCAGUCAGGGGUGGGCAGGGAGGGAAAAUUUGUGUUUGUAAAAUCAGAGGUCAUGUGGAGGAGAGAGAAUGCACCUCCUGGGCUAAACUGGGGUAAACCUUGCGGACCUGCAGGGAAAAUGUGGGGGGUAAAACUUGUGGGAAUCUGCAGGGCAGAGAGUGAAUCUUGUGAGGUGAAAAUGAGUUCCUGGGUGGUGGAGAGGUGGGGAAAGUGUUGAGAGUAAACUGGAGGGGAUCUGCUGGGUGGAGAAUGAACAUCUUGAUGUAGGAGUGAGUUGCUGAGAUGUGGAGGGGUCGGGAAAAUG